GGUCCCAGUACCAGUUACCAGCGGUGAUUAGUUCCAGCCUUUUUUUGCAGUUGUGAUUCAGAAACGAGGGCGAGCACUUGGCGUUUUGGGUUUGUUCUGUCUCCUUCUUUUGUUUUAGCUAGUCUUGUUGCCUUUGAGACACGCUCUGUUGUGGUCCACUUUUGGGACUUGUACUCUUUAUUAGAUAGCUCUGUACUAGUGACUUCCAGGUUCUGGGAGGGAUUUCUGUAUAUAUUUAUUUUGGGUUGCUUCCGCCUUGUUAUUCUUGUUUAGAUUAUUGUUAUCGUUAGUUUCUGCCCU
rnacentral:lncRNA from 1 species